rnacentral:tRNA from 1 species
CGGAUCGUAGCUCAGCUUGGCUAGAGCGUCUGGUUUGGGACCAGAAGGUCGCAGGUUCGAAUCCUGUCGGUCCGACCA